AACCUUGUGCAGUAGCAAUUUCGUAAUCAAUGAAGUUCUACUGAGAUGCGAAUAUUGCUAGUUGAUAAUUUCUACAGAACUAAUAAAACACGGUAAAGAAUUUGAAGUUAAUAUUGGAUG
rnacentral:snRNA from 13 species